rnacentral:misc_RNA from 1 species
AAAGAGUCAUCUACAGGUAAAUUAUCAAUACCAUCUACAUGAUCUACUUGGAAACAUUAUCAACACCAACAGCUAGAGCUUUCAAAAGAUUUUGUCUAGAUUCAAGUCCUACCAUAUUUGGUCAUCUAGCCAAUAACACAAAAAUAAAUAAAUACAGCAAUUUAGGCCUUUUUGUUAUAGGAUAGGAAGCAAUACAGCCUGGUGAUGUCACUGUUUCCAUAUUUUCAUAAUGUGCGUGGCGUCUCAUUUUCUAUUACUGUUACGAAAAAGAGAACAAACAAAUGUUAAACAAGAGACAGCUAAAUCUUGUUCCUUGAAGUGUCAUUAGUAAUUAGUAGGAAACCAAGGAGCCAGAGAAUUAAAGAUCCAAAGAUGCAAAUAGCAGUAAAAAAUAUCCUUUCUUUUUAAUAAUUUUAUUAAAUAAUGCUAGGGUAGUUGGGUGUUGA